rnacentral:rRNA from 1 species
UCGAACGAUGAUCCCAGCUUGCUGGGGGAUUAGUGGCGAACGGGUGAGUAACACGUGAGUAACCUGCCCUUGACUCUGGGAUAAGCCUGGGAAACUGGGUCUAAUACCGGAUAUGACCAUUCCACGCAUGUGGUGGUGGUGGAAAGCUUUUGUGGUUUUGGAUGGACUCGCGGCCUAUCAGCUUGUUGGUGGGGUAAUGGCCUACCAAGGCGACGACGGGUAGCCGGCCUGAGAGGGUGACCGGCCACACUGGGACUGAGACACGGCCCAGACUCCUACGGGAGGCAGCAGUGGGGAAUAUUGCACAAUGGGCGCAAGCCUGAUGCAGCGACGCCGCGUGAGGGAUGACGGCCUUCGGGUUGUAAACCUCUUUCAGUAGGGAAGAAGCGAAAGUGACGGUACCUGCAGAAGAAGCGCCGGCUAACUACGUGCCAGCAGCCGCGGUAAUACGUAGGGCGCAAGCGUUAUCCGGAAUUAUUGGGCGUAAAGAGCUCGUAGGCGGUUUGUCGCGUCUGCUGUGAAAGACCGGGGCUCAACUCCGGUUCUGCAGUGGGUACGGGCAGACUAGAGUGCAGUAGGGGAGACUGGAAUUCCUGGUGUAGCGGUGAAAUGCGCAGAUAUCAGGAGGAACACCGAUGGCGAAGGCAGGUCUCUGGGCUGUAACUGACGCUGAGGAGCGAAAGCAUGGGGAGCGAACAGGAUUAGAUACCCUGGUAGUCCAUGCCGUAAACGUUGGGCACUAGGUGUGGGGGACAUUCCACGUUUUCCGCGCCGUAGCUAACGCAUUAAGUGCCCCGCCUGGGGAGUACGGCCGCA